GACCUCUUAGCUCAGUGGUAGAGCGUGAGAUUCCAGUCCUCAAGGUCAUGCGUUCAACUCGCAUAGGGGUCA
rnacentral:tRNA from 1 species